GGCGGAGGUGGCGGCGGUGGCGGAUGCGGUGGAGGUGGCGGCGGUGGCGGAUGCGGUGGCGGUGGCGGCGGAGGUUGCUAAAGUCCCGAGCGUGUGCACUAAUACAUGGCAAUAAAGGCAUCAGGUCUCGUUGCGAUUGGAAGCAGCUGCAUGUACCAGUUAUUCCGCUGGUUAUAUAUAUUUCAUCUGGCCGCUAUCCGGAGCCAGUUACGGAUGUGUAAAAUAACGAAACUUAUAUCUAAGAAAUCUAUCAUUUGAAAACUUAUAGUAGACGGCAUGGGAGCAACCCGAUCAUCUCCGCAGUCCGCAGGUGGCGGCGCUUGGAGGUUGGGGUGGAAGGGGUGGUGGCGGAGGUUGCUGUGGUGCUGGAGGUUGUUAGCAAACACAUGCUAAUAAGGUAUCAGGUUAUACACAUGUUAUCUGGCCAAUAUCCAAAAUCAAUUAUCUGUAAAAUAAUGAAAACUUAUAUCUUUGAAAUAAAUUAUUUGAAGUGAUUGUUUCUUUUUCA